rnacentral:tRNA from 1 species
GGUAAGAUGGCUGAGGUUAAGCGGCGGACUGUAGUUUCGUGUAGAGAGGUGGAAGUCCUCUUCUUAUCA